rnacentral:rRNA from 1 species
CCUACGGGAGGCAGCAGUGAGGAAUAUUGGUCAAUGGACGCAAGUCUGAACCAGCGAUGCCGCGUGCAGGAAGACGGCUCUAUGAGUUGUAAACUGCGUUUGUACGAGGGUAAAGUCAGAUACGCGUAUCUCUCUGAAAGUAUCGUACGAAUAAAGAUCGGCUAACUCCGUGCCAGCAGCCGCGGUAAGACGGAGGAUUCAAGCGUUGUCCGGAUUUGUUGGGUUGAAAGGGUGCGUAGGCGGUCGGAUAAGUCAGAGGUGAAAUCCCGAGGCUCAACUUCGGAACUGCCUCUGAUACUGGUAGGCUAGAGAGUGGUUGCGGUAGGCGGAAUGUAUGGUGUAGGGGUGAAAUGCUUAGAGAUCAUACAGAACAUCGAUUGCGAAGGCAGCUUACCAGGCUACAUCUGACGUUGUGGCACGAAAGCGUGGGGAGCAAACAGGAUUAGAUACCCUUGUAGUC